rnacentral:rRNA from 1 species
AACGAACGCUGGCGGCGUGCCUAACACAUGCAAGUCGAGCGGGAAAGUUCCCUUCGGGAAGCAAGUACAGCGGCGAACGGGUGAGUAACACGUAGGUAACCUACCCUAGAGUCCGGGAUAACCUGCCGAAAGGCGGGCUAAUACCAGAUAAGACCACGAGGGCUGCGGCCCUUGGGGCAAAAGAUGGCCUCUGCUUGCAUGCUAUCACUCCGGGAUGGGCCUGCGCGCCAUUAGCAGUUGGUGGGGUAACGGCUCACCAAGGCUGAGAUGGCUAGCUGGUCUGAGAGGAUGGCCAGCCACACUGGGACUGAGACACGGCCCAGACUCCUACGGGAGGCAGCAGUGGGAAUAUUGCGCAAUGGGCGAAAGCCUGACGCAGCGACGCCGCG